rnacentral:rRNA from 1 species
GACGUAGGAGGCGAGCGUUGUCCGGAUUCAUUGGGCGUAAAGAGCACGCAGGCGGUUUGGUAAGUCGGAUGUGAAAACCCGAAGCUCAACUUCGGGAGUGCAUCCGAAACUGCCCGACUAGAGGUAGGUAGGGGAGAUCGGAAUUCCUGGUGUAGCGGUGAAAUGCGCAGAUAUCAGGAGGAACACCGGUGGCGAAGGCGGAUCUCUGGGCCUCACCUGACGCUCAGGUGCGAAAGCUAGGGGAGCGAACAGG